rfam:Polaromonas sp. JS666 plasmid 2, complete sequence.
CGCCUCAUGCCUGAAAGGGCGACAGCGAAUGUUGGAGCGAGGAGUCAGCUGAGGUCGUAGUAGUGCCAGUAGCGGGCCGCUGAGGCACAAGCCAACGCACGAAGGAC